GCAUAGUACUUAUGGUAAAAGGACAUAAAUCAGGAUGGUGGAGUGGAACAAGAAUGGCAGAGCACAGACAGAUAAAACUGUGGAUACAAUAUUAAUAAAAAUACCAAGAAAGCACAAAAAGAAAAACUGAAGGUGAUGGAUUAGAAGGAGUAAAGUUAGGAAGGAAAAAGGAAAGGGACUAUUUUUUAUCACUCAUCAAUCUGUAACCAUGUGGAUGGACAAACAGCAAUUUAGCUCUUUCCUGUAGGUCUCUUCUAACUUGGGAUAUUAUAUAUAUACAUAUAUAUAUGUACAUAUAUAAAAUAUGAAGUAAUUAUGGAUAUCCUGCAUGUUACUCAACUCUAGAAAGAAAUCAAUCUAGAAGAUAAAAGCUUUUCUAGUAGAAGGCAUCUGUCAAUUACCAGCACUAGCUGUGUCACUGAAGAUUCACAGAUUUUGCUAAAUUUUUGAACUGUUCUUUGUAAUAGUACCUAGAGGGCUUGUUGGUAAGUAAGCAUUUCUAAUUAUAAAUAUAGCAGAAAUAUAUAUUUAAGUGCAAAAUCUGUUCCCCUGUAGUUGUACUGCACUAGCACAAAUCCUGUUUGCUGUUUUACAUGUAAAAAGAUUAUCUGCUAUGCCUUACAAAAAAAUUAAACAAAAAAGCUACUGAAUACAGUAAACUAUCAUAAAUUACUCAUCACAUACUUAAUGACGACAUGAAUAUUAGCAAAGGGGACAAAAUUACAAACUGUUGACUUUUAUUUUGAAUCUAAAUCAAGCUGAAAUAUGUUACUUUAUAUUAAUGAGGUUUGCCUCAGAAAUACUAAAUGGAACUAUAAUGUGGAAUUGUUGGAUAUAAGAAAACCUAGCAUUUUGUAGAAAUCCCUCUACCUGUUAGAUAAAUGAAUUUGAUACUCUGUUAGAGAAAAUUUCCAUGGCAAUGAGGCUACAAAAUUUUAUACCAGCUGGAGCUGGUAUAAAAUGGAGCUUCCAUACAUAUUUCUUCAUGACAAGUGAAAUGCACUAGUUUUAUAUUUAGAAUUUUGUAGGAAUAGUAAAAAUCAAACAGUGAACAAACAAAUAGAUUAGUGGUCUGUAUAUUAGGAGGAAGUUUUUCACACAGAGGGUGGUGACACACUGGAACAGGUUGCCCAAGGAGGUUGUGGAUGCCCCAUCCCUGGAGGCAUUCAAGGCCAGGCUGGAUGUGGCUCUGGGCAGCCUGGUCUGGUGGUUGGUGAGCCUGCACAUAGCAGG
ensembl:lncRNA